UACGGAGGGUGCGAGCGUUGUCCGGAAUCACUGGGCGUAAAGCGCGUGUAGGCGGUCCGGUAAGUCGGCUGUGAAAGUCCAGGGCUCAACCCUGGGAUGCCGGUCGAUACUGCCGGACUAGAGUUCGGAAGAGGCAAGUGGAAUUCCCGGUGUAGCGGUGAAAUGCGCAGAUAUCGGGAAGAACACCCGUGGCGAAGGCGGCUCUCUGGGACGGUACUGACGCUGAGACGCGAAAGCGUGGGGAGCGAACAGG
rnacentral:rRNA from 1 species